GCGGGACUUUCGGCGGGUCCCGGCCGGGCAGACCCGAGUGCCGGCGGCGGAGACUGCGGUGGAGCCAGUACCGGCUGCAGUGGCCGGGGCCGUGGCGGGAGAGUCAUGUCAGAGCCGCAGCCGCGGGGCGCAGAGCGCGAUCUUUACCGGGACACGUGGGUGCGAUACCUGGGCUAUGCCAAUGAGGUGGGCGAGGCUUUCCGCUCUCUUGUGCCAGCAGCGGUGGUGUGGCUGAGCUAUGGCGUGGCCAGCUCCUACGUGCUGGCGGAUGCCAUUGACAAAGGCAAGAAGGCUGGAGAGGUGAGUGUUAGCCUAUUUUCCAACCCCCGACCCUAGCUCUCUUCUUGUGUGGUUCAGUCCACAGCCUUGCAGGUGAUAAAGUCCCUGUGGGACACUCCAGUCCCUACAACCUUGCCUAGUGCAGUCCAUAGACAGUCCUGUUUGUAGGACAGUGUACCCCUGCCCCCACACUCCCACUCCCCGACCUGGAUGUGGCAGACUGUACCCCACUCCUGGGUGUGGACAAGUCCACUGGCCACUUGCCCCUCCCAGUCUAGCCUCGUGCCCCUUGUCGCAGGAUUUUCUGCCUCUGCUCCAGCUGGAUUAAGUGUCUCUGCGCCCACCAGGUGCCCAGCCCUGAAGCAGGCC
rnacentral:sRNA from 1 species